rnacentral:rRNA from 1 species
ACGGGGCCCGCACAAGCGGUGGAGUAUGUGGUUUAAUUCGACGCAACGCGCAGAACCUUACCUAGGCUUGACAUCCCGGGAAUUUGCCGGAAACAGUGAAGUGCUUUCAUUAGAAAGAGCCCGGUGACAGGUGCUGCAUGGCUGUCGUCAGCUUGUGUCGUGAGAUGUUGGGUUAAGUCCCGCAACGAGCGCAACCCUUAUCAUUAGUUACCAGCGAGUCAUGUCGGGGACUCUGAUGAGACUGCCCGGGUUAACCGGGAGGAAGGUGGGGAUGACGUCAAGUCCUCAUGGCCCUUAUGUCCAGGGCUACACACGUGCUACAAUGGGCGGUACAGAGUGUCGCAAUACCGCGAGGUAGAGCCAAUCACAAAAACCGCUCUCAGUUCGGAUUGGAGUCUGCAACUCGACUCCAUGAAGCUGGAAUCGCUAGUAAUCGCGGAUCAGCAUGCCGCGGUCGAAUACGUUCCCGGGCCUU